rnacentral:rRNA from 1 species
CGAACGCUGGCUCUGUGCCUAAAGAUGCAAGUCGAACGAGGUCCAACCGGUGGCAACACUGGUGAAUACCCAGUGGCGAACGGGUGAGUAACACGUGAGCAACCUGUCCCAAAGACUGGGAUAACCCCGGGAAACCGGAGCUAAUACCGGAUACCCCCACCGGGUCGCAUGGCCUGGUGAGGAAAUGGAUUCCGCUUCGGGAGGGCCUCGCGGCCUAUCAGCUUGUUGGUGGGGUAACGGCCUACCAAGGCGACGACGGGUAGCUGGUCUGAGAGGACGAUCAGCCACACUGGGACUGAGACACGGCCCAGACUCCUACGGGAGGCAGCAGUGGG